rnacentral:lncRNA from 7 species
CCCGCACAUACGUGAUCUCUACACGCGUGUUCCUGUGUUGUAUGCGUGUUCUGAUGCGGCUUUCUCCUCUUAUACACAUGUGACAUUCUACAUACAUGAUGCCAUGUCACACGCAUGUUCUGAUCACUUCUGUGUUCACACAUGUGACGCUUCACACACGUGCUCACAUGUCACACACGUGUUCUCACGCGGUUCGGUGCUCACUUCCAUCCCUGCGACACUCAACACGCGUGUGCUCCCAUCACACGCGUGUUCCAAUGCACUUCUGUGUUCUCUUACCCAUGCGUGAUGCCCUACACAGGUUCCCAUGGCACACGCGUGUGCUCUCACAGAGCUCUUCACACACGUGACCUCACAUACGUGUCCCCACGUCACACAUGUGUGGCCUCAUAUACGUGUCCCCAUGUCAAACAGGUGAUCUCACGUGUCCCCAUGUUACACGCGUGACCUCACACACACGUGUCCCCAUGGCACACACGUGUGCUCUCACGGAGCUCCGUGCCCCUUCACACACGUGUGACCU